GGAAGUGGACAGGUCCUGGUGGGCCUCCUGGACUUCAAAUCCAGUGGCGGACCUAAGAAGUCCGCGGUGGGUUCGAUUCCCAUGCACUUCCGCCA
rnacentral:tRNA from 1 species